GACGAACGCUGGCGGCGCGCCUAACACAUGCAAGUCGAACGAGCGAGAGAGAGCUUGCUUUCUCGAGCGAGUGGCGAACGGGUGAGUAACGCGUGAGGAACCUGCAUCAAAGAGGGGGACAACAGUUGGAAACGACUGCUAAUACCGCAUAAGCCCACAGCUCGGCAUCGAGCAGAGGGAAAAGGAGCAAUCCGCUUUGAGAUGGCCUCGCGUCCGAUUAGCUAGUUGGUGAGGUAAUGGCCCACCAAGGCGACGAUCGGUAGCCGGACUGAGAGGUUGAACGGCCACAUUGGGACUGAGACACGGCCCAGACUCCUACGGGAGGCAGCAGUGGGGAAUAUUGCACAAUGGGGGAAACCCUGAUGCAGCGACGCCGCGUGGAGGAAGAAGGUCUUCGGAUUGUAAACUCCUGUUGUUGAGGAAGAUAAUGACGGUACUCAACAAGGAAGUGACGGCUAACUACGUGCCAGCAGCCGCGGUAAAACGUAGGUCACAAGCGUUGUCCGGAAUUACUGGGUGUAAAGGGAGCGCAGGCGGGAAGGCAAGUUGGAAGUGAAAUCCAUGGGCUCAACCCAUGAACUGCUUUCAAAACUGUUUUUCUUGAGUAGUGCAGAGGUAGGCGGAAUUCCCGGUGUAGCGGUGGAAUGCGUAGAUAUCGGGAGGAACACCAGUGGCGAAGGCGGCCUACUGGGCACCAACUGACGCUGAGGCUCGAAAGUGUGGGUAGCAAACAGGAUUAGAUACCCUGGUAGUCCACACUGUAAACGAUGAUUACUAGGUGUUGGAGGAUUGACCCCUUCAGUGCCGCAGUUAACACAAUAAGUAAUCCACCUGGGGAGUACGACCGCAAGGUUGAAACUCAAAGGAAUUGACGGGGGCCCGCACAAGCAGUGGAGUAUGUGGUUUAAUUCGACGCAACGCGAAGAACCUUACCAAGUCUUGACAUCCUGCGACGGUGCUGGAAACAGUACUUUCCUUCGGGACGCAGAGACAGGUGGUGCAUGGUUGUCGUCAGCUCGUGUCGUGAGAUGUUGGGUUAAGUCCCGCAACGAGCGCAACCCUUAUGGUCAGUUACUACGCAAGAGGACUUUGGCCAGACUGCCGUUGACAAAACGGAGGAAGGUGGGGAUGACGUCAAAUCGUCAUGCCCUUUAUGACUUGGGCUACACACGUACUACAAUGGCGUUAAACAAAGAGAAGCAAGACCGCGAGGUGGAGCAAAACUCAGAAACAACGUCCCAGUUCGGACUGCAGGCUGCAACUCGCCUGCACGAAGUCGGAAUUGCUAGUAAUCGCAGAUCAGCAUGCUGCGGUGAAUACGUUCCCGGGCCU
rnacentral:rRNA from 1 species